UAGCACAGCAUCUCCCUUACUCUGAGAAGACACCCGUGCAAAUCGGGUCGCCCUGAGCUAACUAGCUAG
rnacentral:tRNA from 1 species